rnacentral:rRNA from 1 species
AUGUUGAACACAAUGUUGGUGCCACUUGGACAUUGUACUAUGUAUGCGCCAAAGAGCUAUAACUUGUUGCAAUGGAGCCAGCCACGAUGCAGAAGCUUCCAAGAAAAGACACGUGCCAGAAUUAACAAAGCCAUGAGUAACUGCUUCGCGAAGCCAACCUCUAGGAGCGAGGGCGAGAUCCUCCACUCGGCCAACAUCAGGAGCUUCACCUUCAAGGAGCUCAGGACAGCCACUAGGAAUUUCCGGCGGGACAGCAUCCUCGGUGAGGGCGGCUUUGGAGUGGUGUACAAAGGGUGGGUCGAGGAGAGCACCUUCGCCCCGGCCAGCAGCGACACUGGCAUGCCCGUUGCCGUUAAGAGGCUCAGCCAGAAAGGCAUCCAGGGCCACAGGGAAUGGCUGGCUGAAGUGAAUUACCUUGGCAGAUUGUCGCAUCCCAAUCUGGUGAAGCUCCUAGGCUACUGCCUCGAAGACGUGCAGCACCUACUUGUCUACGAGUUCAUGCCACAGGGAAGCUUGGAGAACCAUCUUUUCGGGAGGAGCUUAAAUUUCCACUCACUGUCAUGGAAUGUGAGGAUGAAUGUUGCUCUUGGAGCAGCUAAGGGGCUUGCGUUCCUCCACAGCGACAAGGCCAACGUCAUCUACCGCGAUUUCAAGACGUCAAAUGUUCUCCUUGAUUCGAGCUACAGCGCAAAGUUGUCUGAUUUUGGGUUGGCGAGGGAUGGGCCAAACGAUGAUGAGAGCCAUGUCUCUACAAGGGUCAUGGGCACAGAUGGAUAUGCAGCCCCUGAAUAUCUGGAUACAGGCCAUCUGACGACGAAGUGCGAUGUGUACAGUUUUGGUGUGGUGCUCCUGGAGAUCCUAUCCGGCCGGCGAGCCCUGAGCAGGAGCCGUCCGUCCAGCGAGCGCAACCUGGUGGAGUGGGCGCGGCCGUACCUGAAGAGCAAGCGACGCAUCUCCCACAUCCUGGACGCGCGGCUGGACGGGCAGUACUCCCUUGGCGGCGCGCAGAAGGCUGCUGCACUCGCGCUCCGGUGCAUCUCCAUCCACCCGAGAGUCCGGCCGGGCAUGGAGCAGGUGGUGGUGGCGCUGGAGCAGCUCGAGGACGACAAGGAGACCGUGACGAGUGGUCAGGGGAAGGCAAAUGGCGGCGGCACAUGCGGCUUCUUCAGGAUGUGUAGUGGUGGCCGGCAGCAGCAGCAGCAACCGUAG